rnacentral:tRNA from 1 species
GUAUUAGGGAAGGCAAAUGGUGCGCCACCAGCUUCUGCAGCUGGUUCUAGUGGGUUCGAUUCCCACCCCGAAAUU